GAUGAAGAACGUAGCAAAAUGCGAUAAGUAAUGUGAAUUGCAGAAUUCAGUGAAUCAUCGAAUCUUUGAACGCACAUUGCGCCCGCCAGUAUUCUGGCGGGCAUGCCUGUUCGAGCGUCAUUUCAACCAUCAAGCCCCGGGCUUGUGUUGGGGACCUGCGGCUGCCGCAGGCCCUGAAAUGCAGUGGCGGGCUCGCUGUCACUCCGAGCGUAGUAGUUACAUCUCGCUCUGGGCGUGCUGCGGGUUCCGGCCGUUAAAAGCCUUAUUUACCCAAGGUUGACCUCGGAUCAGGUAGGAAGACCCGCUGAACUUAAGCAUAUCAAUAAGCGGAGGA
rnacentral:misc_RNA from 1 species